UGGCGAACGGGUGAGUAACGCGUGAGUAACCUGCCCUAGAGUGGGGGACAACAGUUGGAAACGACUGCUAAUACCGCAUAAGCCCACGGUACCGCAUGGCACUGAGGGAAAAGGAUUUAUUCGCUUUAGGAUGGACUCGCGUCCAAUUAGCUAGUUGGUGAGGUAACGGCCCACCAAGGCGACGAUUGGUAGCCGGACUGAGAGGUUGAACGGCCACAUUGGGACUGAGACACGGCCCAG
rnacentral:rRNA from 1 species